rnacentral:lncRNA from 1 species
CUCUUGAGCUCUUGUGGUGACCUGGGAAUCAAUGUGUGAGGUGGUGCUAUGUAGCAGGAACCCCUCUUGCUUUGCAAAUAGUUUUUUGUUUGUUUUCCUUUUUGCCCAAUAGAGCCCUGCUCUACUGACCCUUCAAUGUGCCCGUGUGCCUAAAUAUUCCUGGUCGUGUGAAAAGAACCCAGGUAUUAGCUGAACUAAGGAGCACAAUUCUGCAACAUUUUGGCACCCAAACACGGGGCUUGAGAAAUGAAUGCAAUUGGAGAAACUGGUUGUUUUACCAGGCGUUGAUUGGAAAUGUGUGCUUCCCUUUAAGCAGUCAAGCUCAACUUGCAGAACUGAUGGGAACCCCUUGGGAAAACUGGCCUCAAAUGUUUGUCUACACAGUCCACAUACAGGGUUCUUAACCUGCGACUGACCCUGCUUGUGCCUGUGAACCAACCAACAAUCUCUGGCUGCAGCUCAGAAAGGACAAAAGAGAAUGGAUGAGGGAAACUUCCCAGGGCUUGUCUGGGUAUGCCCACAGUGGACUGGAGCCCAAAAUGCACACUGGAGGAAGUGGAUGGAGCCACGUGGAUGUCAUGCCUUAUGCAGGGGAGGAGCCUGCUCUCUUCAGCUCCUGUGGUAAUGUGGGAAUCGAUCUGUGAGAUUCCAUGAACUCCAAGUUAAGAACACAUGAUCUGGAUGUUUGACAAAAUACCUUCAGCAGGAAUAAUGAAAGCCCUGACAUUUCUGUGUGCAUAAAAACUGGAAAACUUUAAAAGUAAUAAAUCACCAAGUCUUUAUAAAAAUCGAUGAGUUAGACUGGAGUGCAAUGGCAUUAUCUCAGCUCACUGCAACAUCCGCCUCCCGUGUUCAAGCAAUUCUCCUGCUUCAGUCUCCGAAGUAGCUGGGAUUACAAUAGACUGGAUUUUAUCAAGGAAUGUAUUUCUUCUAGAAAAUAGAUACACUUUCAAAGAUACGUUAAUUUACAUGAGAGCUUGCCUGUGUGCACAAUAGAAAGCCAAAAAUAAAGAGGUUAUCAUCUAA